rnacentral:rRNA from 1 species
UACGGGGGGGGGCAAGCGUUGUUCGGAAUUACUGGGCGUAAAGGGUGUGUAGGCGGUUAUUUAAGUUUGGUGUGAAAUCUCCCGGCUCAACCGGGAGGGUGCGCCGAAUACUGAAUGACUUGGAGUGCGGGAGAGGAAAGUGGAAUUCCUGGUAUAGCGGUGAAAUGCGUAGAUAUCAGGAGGAACACCGGUGGUGUAGACGGCUUUCUGGACCGUAACUGACGCUGGAGAACACGAAAGCCGUGGGUAGCAAACAGG